rnacentral:rRNA from 1 species
AUUUAACUCUGUCGGUAGGCCUAACACAUGCAAGUCGAACGGCAGCACAGUAAGAGCUUGCUCUUACGGGUGGCGAGUGGCGGACGGGUGAGGAAUACAUCGGAAUCUACUUUUUCGUGGGGGAUAACGUAGGGAAACUUACGCUAAUACCGCAUACGACCUACGGGUGAAAGCAGGGGAUCUUCGGACCUUGCGCGAUUGAAUGAGCCGAUGUCGGCUUAGCUAGUUGGCGGGGUAAAGGCCCACCAAGGCGACGAUCCGUAGCUGGUCUGAGAGGAUGAUCAGCCACAAUGGAACUGGGACACGGUCCAGACUCCUACGGGAGGCAGCAGUGGGGAAUAUUGGACAAUGGGCGCAAGCCUGAUCCAGCCAUACCGCGUGGGUGAAGAAGGCCUUCGGGUUGUAAAGCCCUUUUGUUGGGAAAGAAAAGCAGCAGGUUAAUACCCCGCUGUUCUGACGGUACCCAAAGAAUAAGCACCGGCUAACUUCGUG